rnacentral:rRNA from 1 species
AUUGAACGCUGGCGGCAUGCUUUACACAUGCAAGUCGAACGGUAACAGGCCGCAAGGUGCUGACGAGUGGCGAACGGGUGAGUAAUGCAUCGGAACGUGCCCAGUCGUGGGGGAUAACUACUCGAAAGAGUAGCUAAUACCGCAUACGAUCUAUGGAUGAAAGCGGGGGACCGUAAGGCCUCGCGCGAUUGGAGCGGCCGAUGUCAGAUUAGGUAGUUGGUGGGGUAAAGGCUCACCAAGCCAACGAUCUGUAGCUGGUCUGAGAGGACGACCAGCCACACUGGGACUGAGACACGGCCCAGACUCCUACGGGAGGCAGCAGUGGGGAAUUUUGGACAAUGGGCGCAAGCCUGAUCCAGCAAUGCCGCGUGCAGGAAGAAGGCCUUCGGGUUGUAAACUGCUUUUGUACGGAACGAAACGGCUCUGGUUAAUACCCGGGCUAAUGACGGUACCGUAAGAAUAAGCACCGGCUAACUACGUG